rnacentral:rRNA from 1 species
AUUGAACGCUGGCGGCAUGCUUUACACAUGCAAGUCGAACGGCAGCGGGGUAGUGCUUGCACUACUGCCGGCGAGUGGCGAACGGGUGAGUAAUAUAUCGGAACGUACCGAGUAAUGGGGGAUAACCAAUCGAAAGAUUGGCUAAUACCGCAUACGUCCUGAGGGAGAAAGCGGGGGAUCGCAAGACCUCGCGUUAUUCGAGCGGCCGAUAACUGAUUAGCUAGUUGGUGGGGUAAAGGCCUACCAAGGCGACGAUCAGUAGCGGGUCUGAGAGGACGAUCCGCCACACUGGGGCUGAGACACGGCCCAGACUCCUACGGGAGGCAGCAGUGGGGAAUUUUGGACAAUGGGGGCAACCCUGAACCAGCCAUGCCGCGUGUAUGAAGAAGGCCUUCGGGUUGUAAAGUACUUUGUUAGGGAAGAAAAGGGAAGUGCUAAUACCACUUUUUGCUGACGGUACCUAAAGAAUAAGCACCGGCUAACUACGUG